ensembl:snRNA U4 U4 spliceosomal RNA
AGCUUUGCGCAGUGGCAGUACUGUAGCCAAUGAGGUUUAUCCGAGGCGCGAUUAUUGCUAAUUGAAAAACCAAAUAAACUAUUUUUCAAACAUCGGUCUCAAAUGGAAAGUUCCAAGGGCAGACAACAAUUUGC